GCGCAACCCUUAUCCUUUGUUGCCAGCGGUCCGGCCGGGAACUCAAAGGAGACUGCCAGUGAUAAACUGGAGGAAGGUGGGGAUGACGUCAAGUCAUCAUGGCCCUUACGACCAGGGCUACACACGUGCUACAAUGGCGCAUACAAAGAGAAGCGACCUCGCGAGAGCAAGCGGACCUCAUAAAGUGCGUCGUAGUCCGGAUUGGAGUCUGCAACUCGACUCCAUGAAGUCGGAAUCGCUAGUAAUCGUGGAUCAGAAUGCCACGGUGAAUACGUUCCCGGGCCUUGUACACACCGCCCGUCACACCAUGGGAGUGGGUUGCAAAAGAAGUAGGUAGCUUAACCUUCGGGAGGGCGCUUACCACUUUGUGAUUCAUGACUGGGGUGAAGUCGUAACAAGGUAACCGUAGGGGAACCUGCGGUUGGAUCACCUCCUUACCUUAAAGAAGC
rnacentral:rRNA from 2 species